UACGGAGGAUGCGAGCGUUAUCCGGAUUUAUUGGGUUUAAAGGGUGCGUAGGCGGUCCGGAAAGUCAGCGGUAAAAGCCCGGGGCUCAACCCCGGCGAGCCGUUGAAACUGUCGGACUAGAGACGGCGAGAAGUACGCGGAAUGCGCGGUGUAGCGGUGAAAUGCAUAGAUAUCAGGAGGAACACCGGCGGCGAAGGCGGCUUACUGGACUGUAACUGACGUUGAGGCUCGAAGGCGCGGGGAGCAAACAGG
rnacentral:rRNA from 1 species